rnacentral:rRNA from 1 species
UGGGGAAUAUUGCACAAUGGGCGCAAGCCUGAUGCAGCCAUGCCGCGUGUAUGAAGAAGGCCUUCGGGUUGUAAAGUACUUUCAGUCGGGAGGAAGGUGGUAAGGUUAAUAACCUUAUCAAUUGACGUUACCGACAGAAGAAGCACCGGCUAACUCCGUGCCAGCAGCCGCGGUAAUACGGAGGGUGCAAGCGUUAAUCGGAAUUACUGGGCGUAAAGCGCACGCAGGCGGUUGAUUGAGUCAGAUGUGAAAUCCCCGGGCUUAACCCGGGAAUUGCAUCUGAUACUGGUCAGCUAGAGUCUUGUAGAGGGGGGUAGAAUUCCAUGUGUAGCGGUGAAAUGCGUAGAGAUGUGGAGGAAUACCGGUGGCGAAGGCGGCCCCCUGCACAAAGACUGACGCUCAGGUGCGAAAGCGUGGGGAGCAAACAGG